rnacentral:rRNA from 1 species
GAGUUUGAUCGUGGCUCAGAUUGAACGCUGGCGGCGUGCCUAACACAUGCAAGUCGAGCGGUAACAGGUGUAGCAAUACAUGCUGACGAGCGGCGAACGGGUGAGUAAUGCUUCGGAAUCUUCCCAGUUGUGGGGAAUAACUAGCCGAAAGGUUAGCUAAUACCGCAUACGUCCUACGGGGGAAAGCAGGGGAUCGCAAGACCUUGCGCUAUUGGAUGAGCCGAAGUCGGAUUAGCUAGUUGGUAGGGUAACGGCCUACCAAGGCGACAAUCCGUAGCUGGUCUGAGAGGACGACCAGCCACACUGGGACUGAGACACGGCCCAGACUCCUACGGGAGGCAGCAGUGGGGAAUAUUGGACAAUGGGGGAAACCCUGAUCCAGCGACGCCGCGUGUGUGAAGAAGGCCUGCGGGUUGUAAAGCACUUUUAGUGGGGAUGAAAAGCCGAAGGCUAAUACCUUUCGGUCUUGACCUAACCCACAGAAAAAGCACCGGCUAACUCUGUGCCAGCCGCCGCGGU